GAUGAACGCUGGCGGCGUGCUUAACACAUGCAAGUCGAACGGAAAGGCCCUGCGUGCAGGGUACUCGAGUGGCGAACGGGCGGGUAACACGGGGGUGAACUGCCCUGCACUUCGGGAUAGGCCAUGGCAAAGGGGUCUAAUACCGAAUAGGGGACAUUUUUAGCGUGAUGGUUGGAAAGUUUUUUCGGUGUAGGAUGAGCUCGCGGGCUAUCGGCUUGUUGGUGGGGUAAUGGCCUACCAAGGCGGCGACGGGUAGCCGGCCUGAGAGGGUGGACGGCCACAUUGGGACUGAGAUACGGCCCAGACUCCUACGGGAGGCAGAAGUGGGGAAUAUUGCACCAUGGGCGCAAGGCUGAUGCAGCGACGCCGCGUGGGGGAUGACGGUCUUCGUGUUGUAAACUACUUUCGCUAGGGACGAAGCUUUUUGUGACGGUACCUAGAUAAGAAGCACCGGCUAACUACGUG
rnacentral:rRNA from 1 species